UAGGACAAGAUCGUGGGCAGGCUUAUAAAAGGUGCGUUUAUGUGAUACGCAAAAACGAGACGGUCGGGUUUAGGAAAAUAAGAACAGGACAGUUGGGUUUAGGAAAAGAAGAAGGGGACAGUUGGGUUUAGGAAAAGAAGAAGGGGACAGUUGAGUUUAGGGAAAGGAAGAAGGGGACAGUUGGGUUAGG